AAUUGAGCUUCCAGAGUCUCCUGAGGGAUUCCGGGAUGACAGGGAACUCCCUUCGUGCUAGUCGGCAGCUCAAAGGCACACUGCAGGGAGCACAACACUUGUGUUUCUCACAAUGAGUCAAAUGGGUCUGCAGGAGCUCGUGGUGUGCCUGACCGGCCUGCUCAAGUCCGCUGCAUUCUGUCGGCUUCAGGACAUUCUCACUGCAUGGCAAAAGAUUCCAUAACCAUGUCCCUGAAGGAGCCAGCAACAAGGGCUGGUGCCUGUGCAGCUAACUACUCCCCC
rnacentral:lncRNA from 1 species